rnacentral:rRNA from 1 species
CCUACGGGGGGCAGCAGUGGGGAAUAUUGGGCAAUGGGCGCAAGCCUGACCCAGCAACGCCGCGUGAAGGAAGAAGGCUUUCGGGUUGUAAACUUCUUUUGUCAGGGACGAAGCACGUGACGGUACCUGACGAAUAAGCCACGGCUAACUACGUGCCAGCAGCCGCCGUAAUACGUAGGUGGCAAGCGUUAUCCGGAUUUAUUGGGUGCAAAGGGCGUGUAGGCGGGAAUGCAAGUCAGAUGUGAAAACUAUGGGCUCAACCCAUAGCCUGCAUUUGAAACUGUAUUUCUUGUGUGCUGGAGAGGCAAUCGGAAUGCCGUGUGUAGCGGUGAAAUGCGUAGAUAUACGGAGGAACACCAGUGGCGAAGGCGGAUUGCUGGACAGUAACUGACGCUGAGGCGCGAAAGCGUGGGGAGCAAACAGGAUUAGAUACCCCUGUAGUC